UCGAGAAUCUUCCACAAUGGGCGAAAGCCUGAUGGAGCGACACCGCGUGCAGGAUGAAGGCCUUAGGGUUGUAAACUGCUGUCACGCUAUAGGAAAUGUUGGCAGUGAAUAGUUGUCAGCUUGACCAAAGCGAGAGGAAGCGCCGGCUAACUCCGUGCCAGCAGCCGCGGUAAUACGGAGGGCGCAAGCGUUGUUCGGAUUCACUGGGCAUAAAGAGCACGUAGGCGGCUCGCUCAGUCGGGUGUGAAAGCCCACGGCCCAACCGUGGAACUGCACCCGAUACUGGCGAGCUCGAGGACGGAAGGGGUGAGUGGAACUCCAGGUGGAACGGUGAAAUGUAUAGAUAUCUGGAGGAACACCGGUGGCGAAAGCGGCUCACUGGUCCGUCUCUGACGCUGAGGUGCGAAAGCUAGGGUAGCGAACGGGAUUAGAUACCCCCGUAGUCC
rnacentral:rRNA from 1 species